rnacentral:rRNA from 1 species
UACGUAGGGUGCAAGCGUUAAUCGGAAUUACUGGGCGUAAAGCGUGCGCAGGCGGUUUUGUAAGUUUGUCGUGAAAGCCCCGGGCUCAACCUGGGAAUUGCGAUGAAGACUGCAAGGCUUGAAUCUGGCAGAGGGGGGUAGAAUUCCACGUGUAGCAGUGAAAUGCGUAGAGAUGCGGAGGAACACCGAUGGCGAAGGCAGCCCCCCUGGGCUAACACUGACGCCUCAGGCACGAAAGCGUGGGGAGCGAACAGG